rnacentral:lncRNA from 1 species
UUAACUAGCCUAUAUACUGGGAAAUCCCGGAAAGUAGCUUAUCCUGAUUGAUUUCAGGCUCAUAAUUUAUGACCUCGAAAAUUUCCCUCCUUUUCUUUGAUAACUUACAAGUAUAGACCACCAGUGCUGCUAAAAGUGCAAUCAGUAAAGCAACUAAUGAGCUCUUGAUAGCAAUGUGGAUCCGAUGAUCUUUGGAUGAGUUUCGUUUGGGAGAGUGAGGAUGAGGAAGAAGCGGAAAUUGUGGCAAUUGUGACACAGGGAUCAACAUGGGAGAGCCUGCUGCGGCGCUGCUAGUAUGUCAAGAACUGAGCUAUCAAACUUGUUACUCACAUUGAAGACAUCAUCAAUGGACUGCCACACAUAAGUAACGAGAAAUUUGACCCCUGCGUUGGAAUGAGCUUUGGAGGGGCACUUGCAGAACAAAGGGAAGAUUAUAUCGGAGCCAGGCAUCACGUCAGUGGGAUUCAAACCGAGAUUCAAGUCCUUCACCGCGCGAAGGUUGGUGAGGUUUUCCAACAAAGUGGCUGGUACGUGGAAAUAAGUGUCACCUCUGUUCAUCCUGAGUCACAUUGGCAAAGUAGUGGUUUCCGGUGAAACCACAGUUGAUAGGUAUUAGUAAGGGCUGUCCCGGAACCAACUGGCCAUCAGCGGAGACUUGUUUAUUCGCUUUUGAAACCGAUGAGCGACUAACACCGAAGACAUCAGCUAUGGAUCCAAGAUCCUUGUAGCUUUGUAGCUUGGGGGCUGGGAAAUGUACAUGACAUAUGCUUGACAUGAGGUAGGGGAGUCUGCAGAGCAUGAAAAAUCAGGGCCUGUGGUGGGUAGCAAUGCAGAUGCAAAGUUGCUGCUCGAAAACGAUACGAAAAUUAGGAGAAAGAUGACCGCCAUUGGUGUUGAUGCAACUUCAACAGCUAGAGUUGCAAGAAAAACAAAUGACUUUGUGCUUGAUUCUGAUGAAUGAAGAAUUACAAGGAAAACAGGCCUUUUAUAGACCUGAGUUUUUGACAAUUUUUCAGUUGCUGACAUGGCAGUUCCUCAGCUAUGAAUUUGUACUUGAAUAUCUUAUUGCAUCUUGAAAUUGAUAAUAAAUUCGAGAAAAAGAUUAGAAACUUGAUUAGGAUUAAAUCAUGCUUAAAAUAAGAAGUUAGAUAUACUUGUCGUUAUCCGGCCUGGCUAAUGAGUAUUUGACACUAUAGUCAAACAGAGGAUUAGUCAUUAAUUUAAGUUUAAUACAGAGCCCAUGAUUGAAAACGGCUAAAUAGUUUCAAUCUUGCCAAUUCUUAAUGGCUGCCUUCAUUAACCCCACAAAUUGUGCAUGAGAUUUCUAUUUUUUUUAUAAGACAAAAAAUAUUUAUAAUAUUAUAAACUACUCUAACGCAUUAAAUAAGCAGUAUAAAAUGGAUGCCAAAAACGUAUGUACUAUUUUGACAAACUGUCUUAGCUUGCCAUUCCAAUAAGAAUACUGAACUUCAAUCUCUUUCUCCAAAUGUUCGCUCUUUUUUAUAGGAACUUUAACGAAAAGUUCCUGAUAUUGUUCAUUUUAAUGAAAAACCACAUUUUUACACUAAAAAGUCAAUACUGAUACUAUUCACUUUACCUUUUAUUUUGUCCUUAUCGUUAAAACUCAAGAGUUUUAAGUCAUUUUCAUUAGUUUUCCUCUUUUUUAUCUCUCGCUGACUAGUAGAUCGACUUUGCUUCUUGGGAAUCGUGACAUGUUGGGACUCGUAGUAGUAAGGAUGCUCUUUUGCAACCAAAUUUGCCAAGUGUCAAGUUUUUAUUAGUUAGACAAAGAAGUCACAUU